rnacentral:rRNA from 1 species
CGCUGGCGGCGUUGCCUAAUCAUGCAAGUCGAGCGAAUGRAUUAAGAGCUUGCUCUUAUGAAGUUAGCGGCGGACGGGUGAGUAACACGUGGGUAACCUGCCCAUAAGACUGGGAUAACUCCGGGAAACCGGGGCUAAUACCGGAUAACAUUUUGCACCGCAUGGUGCGAAAUUGAAAGGCGGCUUCGGCUGUCACUUAUGGAUGGACCCGCGUCGCAUUAGCUAGUUGGUGAGGUAACGGCUCACCAAGGCAACGAUGCGUAGCCGACCUGAGAGGGUGAUCGGCCACACUGGGACUGAGACACGGCCCAGACUCCUACGGGAGGCAGCAGUAGGGAAUCUUCCGCAAUGGACGAAAGUCUGACGGAGCAACGCCGCGUGAGUGAUGAAGGCUUUCGGGUCGUAAAACUCUGUUGUUAGGGAAGAACAAGUGCUAGUUGAAUAAGCUGGCACCUUGACGGUACCUAACCAGAAAGCCACGGCUAACUACGUGCCAGCAGCCGCGGUAAUACGUAGGUGGCAAGCGUUAUCCGGAAUUAUUGGGCGUAAAGCGCGCGCAGGUGGUUUCUUAAGUCUGAUGUGAAAGCCCACGGCUCAACCGUGGAGGGUCAUUGGAAACUGGGAGACUUGAGUGCAGAAGAGGAAAGUGGAAUUCCAUGUGUAGCGGUGAAAUGCGUAAAGAUAUGGAGGAACACCAGUGGCGAAGGCGACUUUCUGGUCUGUAACUGACCCUGAGGCCCGAAAGCGUGGGGAGCAACARGAUAAAUACCCUGGCAGUCCCCCCCUAAACAAUAGUGCUAAGUGUUAAGGGUUUCCCCCCUUUAUGCUGAAUUAMCC